rnacentral:rRNA from 1 species
UAACUGCUUGGGAACUGAUAGUCUAGAGUGAGGGAGAGGCAGAUGGAAUUGGUGGUGUAGGGGUAAAAUCCGUAGAUAUCACCAAGAAUACCCAUUGCGAAGGCGAUCUGCUGGAACUCAACUGACGCUAAGGCGCGAAAGCGUGGGGAGCAAACAGGAUUAGAUACCCUGGUAGUCCACGCCCUAAACGAUGUACACUAGUUGUUGGGAUGCUAGUCAUCUCAGUAAUGCAGCUAACGCAUUAAGUGUACCGCCUGGGGAGUACGGUCGCAAGAUUAAAACUCAAAGGAAUAGACGGGGACCCGCACAAGCGGUGGAGCAUGUGGUUUAAUUCGAAGAUACGCGAAGAACCUUACCUGGGCUUGAUAUCCUAAGAACCUUAUAGAGAUAUGAGGGUGCUAGCUUGCUAGAACUUAGAGACAGGUGCUGCACGGCUGUCGUCAGCUCGUGUCGUGAGAUGUUGGGUUAAGUCCCGCAACGAGCGCAACCCACGUAUUUAGUUGCUAACGGUUCGGCCGAGCACUCUAAAUAGACUGCCUUCGUAAGGAGGAGGAAGGUGUGGACGACGUCAAGUCAUCAUGGCCCUUAUGCCCAGGGCGACACACGUGCUACAAUGGCAUAUACAAUGAGACGCAAUACUGCGAGGUGGAGCAAAUCUAUAAAAUAUGUCCCAGUUCGGAUUGUUCUCUGCAACUCGAGAGCAUGAAGCCGGAAUCGCUAGUAAUCGUAGAUCAGCCAUGCUACGGUGAAUACGUUCCCGGGUCUUGUACUCACCGCCCGUCACACCAUGGGAGUUGAUUUCACUCGAAGCCGGAAUACUAAACUAGUUUACCGUCCACAAA